GACGAACGCUGGCGGCGCGCCUAACACAUGCAAGUCGAACGAGCGAGAGGAGGUUUACUUUCUCAAGCGAGUGGCGAACGGGUGAGUAACGCGUGAGGAGCCUGCCUCAAAGAGGGGGACAACAGUUGGAAACGACUGCUAAUACCGCAUAAGCCCACGACCCGGCAUCGGGUAGAGGGAAAAGGAGCAAUCCGCUUUGAGAUGGCCUCGCGUCCGAUUAGCUAGUUGGUGAGGUAAUGGCCCACCAAGGCGACGAUCGGUAGCCGGACUGAGAGGUUGAACGGCCACAUUGGGACUGAGACACGGCCCAGACUCCUACGGGAGGCAGCAGUGGGGAAUAUUGCACAAUGGGGGAAACCCUGAUGCAGCGACGCCGCGUGGAGGAAGAAGGUCUUCGGAUUGUAAACUCCUGUUGUUGAGGAAGAUAAUGACGGUACUCAACAAGGAAGUGACGGCUAACUACGUG
rnacentral:rRNA from 1 species